rnacentral:tmRNA from 1 species
GGGGAUGUUCCGGUUUCGACAGGGGCCAUUCGAGCUCUCGAUGCGACAGGAAGGCAGCGACUACCUAAAAACGCUACAGUUAAAUAUAACUGCAAACGAAAAAACAAACAAUUUUGCUUUAGCAGCUUAAAAACCUGCAGGCAAAGAUCGGCCUAGGAUCGCCCAUGUUCUAGUUCCCGGUCUCAAACUUAGUGGGAUACGCCUUAGCAUUCCGUCUGCAUGCUAAGGAAGAGACGAUCAGACUCGCGAAAGCUGAUGCCCGUUGAUUGGCUAGGCUGGAGCUAAUCCAAAUGAAUCAACUAUUGUCGUAGAUUCGGGAGUGGCGAGGCUUCUGGACAGGGGUUCGAUUCCCCUCAUCUCCAUUC